ACAUUAUUUAGUAAUUUUAUCGAUCCUAUGGUUGUUAGAUUACCGUAGCAGUGACCUUCCUUUUCUCUUUGAGUGGCGGGUGGACGUGGGCACCAGACUUACCUUCUCUCUUAU